UACGUAGGGUGCGAGCGUUGUCCGGAAUUAUUGGGCGUAAAGAGCUCGUAGGCGGUUUGUCGCGUCGACUGUGAAAACCCGAGGCUUAACCUCGGGCCUGCAGUCGAUACGGGCAGACUAGAGUUCGGUAGGGGAGACUGGAAUUCCUGGUGUAGCGGUGAAAUGCGUAGAUAUCGUAAGGAAGACCAGUGGCGAAGGCGGGUCUCUGGACAGUUCCUGACGCUGAGGCAC
rnacentral:rRNA from 1 species